GGAGGGAGCGAGCGUUGUUCGGAAUCACUGGGCGUAAAGGGCGCGUAGGCGGCCGAGUAAGUCGUGUGUGAAAGACCGGGGCUCAACUCCGUGUACUGCAUGCGAUACUGCCCGGCUAGAGAAAGGUAGAGGCGAGUGGAAUUCCCGGUGUAGCGGUGGAAUGCGUAGAUAUCGGGAAGAACACCUGUGGCGAAGGCGGCUCGCUGGGCCUUUUUCUGACGCUGAAGUGCGAAAGCGUGGGGAGCAAACAGGAUUAGAUACCCUGGUAGUCCACGCCGUAAACGAUGGGCACUAGGCGUUGGGAGGAUUGACCCUCUCAGUGCCGUAGCUAACGCGUUAAGUGCCCCCGCCUGGGGAUACGGCCGCAAGGCUG
rnacentral:rRNA from 1 species